AACCCCGGCGAGGGGAGUGAAAAAGAACCUGAAACCGUGUACGUACAAGCAGUGGGAGCACGCUUAGGCGUGUGACUGCGUACCUUUUGUAUAAUGGGUCAGCGACUUAUAUUCUGUAGCAAGGUUAACCGAAUAGGGGAGCCGAAGGGAAACCGAGUCUUAACUGGGCGUUAAGUUGCAGGGUAUAGACCCGAAACCCGGUGAUCUAGCCAUGGGCAGGUUGAAGGUUGGGUAACACUAACUGGAGGACCGAACCGACUAAUGUUGAAAAAUUAGCGGAUGACUUGUGGCUGGGGGUGAAAGGCCAAUCAAACCGGGAGAUAGCUGGUUCUCCCCGAAAGCUAUUUAGGUAGCGCCUCGUGAAUUCAUCUCCGGGGGUAGAGCACUGUUUCGGCAAGGGGGUCAUCCCGACUUACCAACCCGAUGCAAACUGCGAAUACCGGAGAAUGUUAUCACGGGAGACACACGGCGGGUGCUAACGUCCGUCGUGAAGAGGGAAACAACCCAGACCGCCAGCUAAGGUCCCAAAGUCAUGGUUAAGUGGGAAACGAUGUGGGAAGGCCCAGACAGCCAGGAUGUUGGCUUAGAAGCAGCCAUCAUUUAAAGAAAGCGUAAUAGCUCACUGGUCGAGUCGGCCUGCGCGGAAGAUGUAACGGGGCUAAACCAUGCAC
rnacentral:rRNA from 1 species